GACGAACGCUGGCGGCGUGCUUAACACAUGCAAGUCGAACGGUGAAGCGCCUUCCUUUUUGGUGGGUGUGGAUGAGUGGCGAACGGGUGAGUAACACGUGAGUAACCUGCCCCCUUCUUCUGGAUAACCGCAUGAAAGUGUGGCUAAUACGGGAUAUUCUGGGUCUGUCGCAUGAUGGGUCUGAGAAAGAUAUUGUUUCGGUGGGGGAUGGGCUCGCGGCCUAUCAGCUUGUUGGUGGGGUGAUGGCCUACCAAGGCGGUGACGGGUAGCCGGCCUGAGAGGGUGGACGGUCACACUGGGACUGAGACACGACCCAGACUCCUACGGGAGGCAGCAGUGGGGAAUAUUGCACGAUGGGAGCAAGCCUGAUGCAGCGACGCCGCGUGAGGGAUGGAGGCCUUCGGGUUGUGAACCUCUUUCGCCAGUGAAGCAGGCCUGCCUCGUUUGUGGGUGGGUUGACGGUAGCUGGAUAAGAAGCGCCGGCUAACUACGUG
rnacentral:rRNA from 1 species